rnacentral:rRNA from 1 species
AGAGUUUGAUCAUGGCUCAGGACGAACGCUGGCGGCAUGGAUUAGGCAUGCAAGUCGAACGAAAAGCAGGAGCUUGCUCCUGUGGACGAGUGGCGAAAGGGUGAGUAACGCGUGAGUAACCUGCCCUCAAGUUGGGGAUAACCUUUGGAAACGAAGGCUAAUACCGAAUGUGAAUAGUUUUCCGCAUGGAAUUCUAUUUAAAAAUUUAUUGCUUGAGGAUGGGCUCGCGUACCAUUAGCUAGUUGGUAGGGUAAUGGCCUACCAAGGCUACGAUGGUUAGCUGGUCUGAGAGGAUGAUCAGCCACACUGGAACUGACACACGGUCCAGACUCCUACGGGAGGCAGC